rnacentral:rRNA from 1 species
GACAGAGGGUGCAACCGUUGUUCGGAAUUACUGGGCGUAAAGCGCGUGUAGGCUGCUUCGCAAGUCGGAUGUGAAAGCCCUGGGCUCAACCUAGGAAGUGCAUUCGAAACUGCGAAGCUUGAGCCCUGGAGAGGAAGGCGGAAUUCUCGGUGUAGAGGUGAAAUUCGUAGAUAUCGAGAGGAACACCGGUGGCGAAGGCGGCCUUCUGGACAGUGACUGACGCUGAGACGCGAAAGCGUGGGGAGCAAACAGG